GAGUUUGAUCCUGGCUCAGGACGAACGCUGGCGGCGUGCUUAACACAUGCAAGUCGAGCGGAAAGGCCCUUCGGGGUACUCGAGCGGCGAACGGGUGAGUAACACGUGAGCAACCUGCCCUAGGCUUUGGGAUAACCCUCGGAAACGGGGGCUAAUACCGAAUAUUACUUGGUCUCGCAUGAGGUUGGGUGGAAAGUUUUUCGGCCUAGGAUGGGCUCGCGGCCUAUCAGCUUGUUGGUGGGGUAAUGGCCUACCAAGGCGACGACGGGUAGCCGGCCUGAGAGGGCGACCGGCCACACUGGGACUGAGACACGGCCCCAGACUCCUACGGGAGGCAGCAGUGGGGAAUAUUGCACAAUGGGCGGAAGCCUGAUGCAGCGACGCCGCGUGAGGGAUGACGGCCUCGGUUGUAA
rnacentral:rRNA from 1 species